GAUGAACGCUGACAGAAUGCUUAACACAUGCAAGUCUUUGGCGAAGCUGUGCUCGCACAGCCUAGCCAAGGCGGACGGGUGAGUAACGCGUAAGGAACUUGCCCUGCAGUCAGGGAUAACAGACGGAAACGACUGAUAAGACCUGGUAAAGUCAGGCGGACUCAUGUCCAGCCUGAUGAAAAGAGAUGCUGCAGGAGAGCCUUGCGUCCUAUUAGCUUGUUGGUGGGGUAACGGCCCACCAAGGCGAUGAUAGGUAGCCGGCCUGAGAGGGUGGACGGCCACAAGGGGACUGAGAUACGGCCCUUACGCCUACGGGAGGCAGCAGUGGGGAAUAUUGGACAAUGGGGGCAACCCUGAUCCAGCAAUUCUGUGUGCACGAUGAAGGUUUUCGGAGUGUAAAGUGCUUUCAGCAGGGAAGAAAAAAAUGACGGUACCUGCAGAAGAAGCGACGGCUAAAUACGUG
rnacentral:rRNA from 1 species